AACAGGAUUAGAUACCCUGGUAGUCCACGCCGUAAACGAUGUCGACUUGGAGGUUGUUCCCUUGAGGAGUGGCUUCCGGAGCUAACGCGUUAAGUCGACCGCCUGGGGAGUACGGCCGCAAGGUUAAAACUCAAAUGAAUUGACGGGGGCCCGCACAAGCGGUGGAGCAUGUGGUUUAAUUCGAUGCAACGCGAAGAACCUUACCUACCCUUGACAUCCAGAGAACUUGGCAGAGAUGCCUUGGUGCCUUCGGGAACUCUGAGACAGGUGCUGCAUGGCUGUCGUCAGCUCGUGUUGUGAAAUGUUGGGUUAAGUCCCGCAACGAGCGCAACCCUUAUCCUUUGUUGCCAGCGAUUCGGUCGGGAACUCAAAGGAGACUGCCGGUGAUAAACCGGAGGAAGGUGGGGAUGACGUCAAGUCAUCAUGGCCCUUACGAGUAGGGCUACACACGUGCUACAAUGGCGCAUACAAAGAGAAGCGACCUCGCGAGAGCAAGCGGACCUCAUAAAGUGCGUCGUAGUCCGGAUCGGAGUCUGCAACUCGACUCCGUGAAGUCGGAAUCGCUAGUAAUCGUGGAUCAGAAUGCCACGGUGAAUACGUUCCCGGGCCUUGUACACACCGCCCGUCACACCAUGGGAGUGGGUUGCAAAAGAAGUAGGUAGCUUAACCUCCGGGAGGGCGCUUACCACUUUGUGAUUCAUGACUGGGGUGAAGUCGUAACAAGGUAACC
rnacentral:rRNA from 1 species